GUGCCAGCCGCCGCGGUAAUUCCAGCUCCAAUAGCGUAUAUUAAAGUUGUUGCGGUUAAAAAGCUCGUAGUUGAACCUUGGGUCUGGCUGGCAGGUCCGCCCUCACCGCGUGUACUUGUCCGGCCGGGCCUUCCUUCCGGAGAACCUCAUGCCCUUCAAUGGGCGUGUUGGGGACCAGGACUUUUACUUUUAAAAAAUUAUAGAGUGCUCAGCGGGGCUUUGUUCGCAUACAUUAUAAUGUGAUAAUAUAAUAGGACGUGCGGGCCUAUUUUUUUGUGUUCUAGGACCGCCGUAAUGAUUAAUAUAGACAGUCGGGGGGGUCAGUAUUCAAUUGUGAGAGAUGAGAUUCUCUGGAUUUAUUGAAGACUAACUACUGCGCGAGCAUUUGCCAAGGAUGUGUUUCAUUAAUCAGUGAACGAAAGUUAGGGGAUCGAAGACGAUCAGAUACCGUCGUAGUCUUAACCGUAAACUAUGCCGACUAGGGAUCGGGCGAUGUUCUUUUUCUGACUCGCUCGGCCCCUUACGAGAAAUCAGAGCUUUUGGCUCUCUGGGGGAGAGUAUGCGCGCGAGUGUGACUCUUAGAGAUUGUGACGGAAGGACCCCCCGAGGUGUAGCGCCUGCGCAUUUUGUGACUCACGCGGAAAACUCACAUGUCCACAUGAUAGUGAAGUAUCGACAGAUGAGAGCUCCUCGUGAUUUUUGCAGGUGUGCAGGGUGGCUGCUUCAUAGUGGGGAGACGUGUCGUGCUGCAUAGUGCUAAUAACGAACGACAUCUUAACCUGAUAAAUACGCAAGUCUAGCUAAGCUUGUUGCGUCUCAUAAGGAGAUUCAGUCGGCACACGCAGAAGAUUGUGAGUAAUAAGAC
rnacentral:rRNA from 1 species